rnacentral:rRNA from 1 species
CCUACGGGAGACUGCAGUGAGGAAUAUUGGUCAAUGGACGAGAGUCUGAACCAGCCAAGUAGCGUGAAGGAUGACUGCCCUAUGGGUUGUAAACUUCUUUUAUAAAGGAAUAAAACGAGGCACGUGUGCCUUUUUGCAUGUACUUUAUGAUUAAGGAUCGGCUAACUCCGUGCCAGCAGCCGCGGUAAUACGGAGGAUCCGAGCGUUAUCCGGAUUUAUUGGGUUUAAAGGGAGCGUAGAUGGGUUGUUAAGUCAGUUGUGAAAGUUUGCGGCUCAACCGUAAAAUUGCAAUUGAUACUGGGAGUCUUGAGUACAGUUGAGGUAGGCGGAAUUCGUGGUGUAGCGGUGAAAUGCUUAGAUAUCACGAAGAACCCCGAUUGCGAAGGCAGCUUACUAAACUGUGACUGACAUUGAUGCUCGAAAGUGUGGGUAUCAAACAGGAUUAGAUACCCGUGUAGUC